GCGGAUGUGGCGGAAUUGGCAGACGCGCCAGACUUAGGAUCUGGUUCCUUCGGGAUUGGGGGUUCGAGUCCCUUCAUCCGCACCG
rnacentral:tRNA from 1 species